rnacentral:rRNA from 1 species
ACGAACGCUGGCGGCACGCUUAACACAUGCAAGUCGAACGAGAGAAGAGAAGCUUGCUUUUCUGAUCUAGUGGCGGACGGGUGAGUAACACGUGAGCAAUCUGCCUUUCAGAGGGGGAUACCGAUUGGAAACGAUCGUUAAUACCGCAUAACAUAAUUGAACCGCAUGAUUUGAUUAUCAAAGAUUUAUCGCUGAAAGAUGAGCUCGCGUCUGAUUAGCUAGUUGGUAAGGUAACGGCUUACCAAGGCGACGAUCAGUAGCCGGACUGAGAGGUUGAUCGGCCACAUUGGGACUGAGACACGGCCCAGACUCCUACGGGAGGCAGCAGUGGGGAAUAUUGCACAAUGGAGGAAACUCUGAUGCAGCGAUGCCGCGUGAGGGAAGAAGGUUUUAGGAUUGUAAACCUCUGUCUUCAGGGACGAAAAAUGACGGUACCUGAGGAGGAAGCUCCGGCUAACUACGUGCCAGCAGCCGCGGUAAUACGUAGGGAGCGAGCGUUGUCCGGAAUUACUGGGUGUAAAGGGAGCGUAGGCGGGAUCGCAAGUCAGAUGUGAAAACUAUGGGCUUAACCCAUAAACUGCAUUUGAAACUGUGGUUCUUGAGUGAAGUAGAGGUAAGCGGAAUUCCUAGUGUAGCGGUGAAAUGCGUAGAUAUUAGGAGGAACAUCAGUGGCGAAGGCGGCUUACUGGGCUUUAACUGACGCUGAGGCUCGAAAGCGUGGGGAGCAAACAGGAUUAGAUACCCUGGUAGUCCACGCCGUAAACGAUGAUUACUAGGUGUGGGGGGACUGACCCCUUCCGUGCCGCAGCAAACGCAAUAAGUAAUCCACCUGGGGAGUACGACCGCAAGGUUGAAACUCAAAGGAAUUGACGGGGCCCGCACAAGCAGUGGAGUAUGUGGAUUAAUUCGAAGCAACGCGAAGAACCUUACCAGGUCUUGACAUCGUAUGCAUAGCUCAGAGAUGAGUGAAAUCUCUUCGGAGACAUAUAGACAGGUGGUGCAUGGUUGUCGUCAGCUCGUGUCGUGAGAUGUUGGGUUAAGUCCCGCAACGAGCGCAACCCUUACUGUUAGUUGCUACGCAAGAGCACUCUAGCAGGACUGCCGUUGACAAAACGGAGGAAGGUGGGGAUGACGUCAAAUCAUCAUGCCCCUUAUGACCUGGGCCUCACACGUACUACAAUGGCUGUCAACAGAGGGAAGCAAAGCCGCGAGGUGGAGCAAACCCCUAAAAGCAGUCUUAGUUCGGAUUGUAGGCUGCAACCCGCCUACAUGAAGUCGGAAUUGCUAGUAAUCGCAGAUCAGCAUGCUGCGGUGAAUACGUUCCCGGGCCUUGUACACACCGCCCGUCACGCCAUGGGAGUCGGUAACACCCGAAGCCUGUAGUCUAACCGCAAGGAGGACGCAGUCGAAGGUGGGAUUGAUGACUGGGGUG